UACGAAGGGGGCUAGCGUUGCUCGGAAUCACUGGGCGUAAAGCGCACGUAGGCGGAUCUUUAAGUCAGGGGUGAAAUCCUGGAGCUCAACUCCAGAACUGCCUUUGAUACUGGGGAUCUCGAGUCCGGAAGAGGUGAGUGGAACUCCGAGUGUAGCGGUGAAAUGCGCAGAUAUCGGGAGGAACACCUAUGGCGAAGGCAGCUCGCUGGGACGGUACUGACGCUGAGACGCGAAAGCGUGGGGAGCAAACAGG
rnacentral:rRNA from 1 species